rnacentral:lncRNA from 1 species
UUGUCGGAUGAAAAUGCGUCAGCUGUCUAGCAACCUAUAUAUAUCCCCGGUCCCUAGUGCCUACUUAAAAAGAAAAAGAAAAAGAAAAACUCUCUCGCGAAAUCUCUUCUUUGAAUCCUUCCUUCAUGGGUCGUAGUGGAUACACCAACAAUGGCGUUGAAUCAAAGAUGUCGUGGCUUAGGGACUCCGUUCCUGCACCUCCUCCGUCAAGCACAUAGGUCAUCUUCAUGAAGAUGAUCCUGAGUAUGAUCCUGAGUACCUCCUGUCCAUUGAGGAAGGAAGGAUGGUGGAGGUAAAUCAAGUGUCGAAGCUGCAAGCCAUGCUAGAGGAAGAAAAGAAGUUAAAUGAAAGAUUGUCCGCUGAUAUGCUCAAACUAGAGUUCGAACUUGCUGCCCAGGACGGGGUGAUAGAAGAUAUCGAAACGAAGAUACAAGAAGAGAAGAAACUGAUUGAAAACCUCAAAGUUCAGCUAGAAGAGCAGACCAGCUUCUGGGUGGCAUGUGUUAGCAUUGCAGCGAUAUUAACUGUUGUUUUUUGUGUGUUUUAUUAGUUGUAGCGUUGCUUUUAUUUGAAUUAAGUAGCAACUACGUGUUGUGCAUGUAAAAAAAAAUUAGUUCCAACAAUUCUCUAGCGUGCUCUAGAAUAAGAAGUCAGUGAGCAUCAAAAAGUAUACUGACGUCUCGGCACAACAACGUGUCAGAGAGUUCCUCGUAAACAAAGUUGACGCUUCCAAGAAGCAAAGUGUCACAAAAGCUAGAUCUUCCUCUGACAUGUAAGCGUCAGUAGAAACUACGUGUCAGAAGUGUGGACGUUAGAGAACGCUUCUUGCUGGUAAGUGUCAGAAAUAUCUUCCUACCGCGGCCUAUGGAUGCUACCAGUGACAGUCCUUAUAAGACGCAUCAGAUGUAAGUGUUCGCGCUGACGCAUUUUAGUUUUGCGUCGGUGGGGAGCUUGCAAGAGUAACGGAUUCUGUAGUAGUCAACCUAAUUUUUGGCUUAUAAAAACUCUCCCUAACCCUAAUCCCCACCACACCUCCUCUCUCUCUCUCUACCCCUGCUGCCGCCUCCUCCCCAUCUCUCUCCCUCCCUCCCCGAUUCUCUCUCCCGUCCCUCCCGUGCUCACCCUCCGUCGCCCCGCGGCCUCCCUCGACCCCGCCGACGCCGCCAUGGAAGCCCGCCCCGGCUGCGCCUCCUCCGGAUCCGGCCGCCCCGGACCCCGCCGCCUCCAGAUCCGGCCGCCCCGGCCCCCUCCGCCCUCAGAUCCGGCCUCCCGCGCCGGACAGCAGUACUCCGCCGCCGAGGUAUAUAACCGUCUCUCUCUCCAUCUCCAUCUCUCGUUCUCUCUCUCACCCUCUCUCUCUCUCACAGCCUCUUUCCCUCACAGACGGACUUCGCCGCCGCCGGAUCCGGUGGACCCGGGCUCCCUCCCUCUUCCUGAUGCCUUCGCGGGAGCCAGCCCCUGCAGCCCCGGCGUGAUUUUUUUUGUGAUUUGUUGUAUGCGACGUGGAUUAAUUCAUCAAUUGGUUUGAUUAAAUUGUGAAUUUGUGAUUUGUUGAUUCAUCGCGUGCUGGUUGUGGCCCCAUUUUGUUUUCAAAUGUCAAAAAUUAUAUCAAUGUCGGGUCCUACAGUAUCCGCCACUGAUGUGCAUAUCAUCACGAACGGGCCAACCGCCCGCCACUGAUGUACCCCACAUCACUAGCAAGAAGUUAGUGGCGGGCGGUAUGCCCGUUACUGAUAGACACUUUUGACCGUUACUGAUAAACGUUUUUGUAGAAGUGACAUUGUAUGUGAUUUUAUUCCGUACACAUCUCCUAUCCGCAAUAUUCAGAUUUUUUUGUCUUGCAUGGGAAUAGACAGUUUACUUUGUACUAUUAUCGUGCCUGCUUGUUUGGUUGGUAAAAAAAGACCUUUGUGGACAAUCAGGGUUGUCGUGCUUAGCCAGAUUAUCACAGUUGUGCCUGCACUAAUAAAUCGAGAGUAAUCAUUCUUGUUGAUAGAUUGGUAAACUCAUUAAACAUCAUGAAGCGUAUGUGAAAACCUUUCUCUAAUUUCAUAACGGCGUGAAUUAUGUGAGCGUCCAACGUACGUCAUGAUGUGAAAAUGGAACUUUCACCGGCAAAAAAAAGAAGAGGAGAAAAUGGAACUUUUCCCGGCAGUUAAUUCAUGUCUAAAUCUAGUCUAUAAAGAUAAUUGAGCGCGCGUAGCAAUUUUUGUACGGACACCUCGUGGACAAUAAUGUCCGUCAAUAGUAUUUCACUCUAUUUCUUUAGUAUAUCUCGGUUCAUGCAUUCUAGUGUGCAUGUCAGGGAAUGACAUGCGGCAGACACAUAUAAAAAGUAUGCAAAACAUAUUAUUUCUUCUCAAUUUGAUAACCGUGAAUGAUUGAUUCGAUCAACGGACUCCAUCUGUCCAGCUUCAACCAGGAAAAAAAAGGGGUUGCACAGCAACCACACACACUAUAAUAGAGAUUUUUAAAAGAAACAUACACUGCAGAAUACGUACAAGAAUCGGCCGGAGAAGUGGAGAUCAUAUAGUCUUGACUCCCGUCGGCCGGAGUCUCCCCGGCGGCGCUAGCUUGUUCAUGCGGACCGGCGCACAUACGUACGGAGUACUCCUUCCGUUUCAUAAAUCUUGUCGAAAUGUUGCAUGAUAUGUAUCUAGACAGUUUUUAAAAAUAGAUACCUUCAUAUUUGAUCAAAUUUGAGACAAGAAUUAUGGAACAGAGGGAUCGAAUACCAUACAAAAUAUAAGCACACCAGCUUAAUUUGAAUUCACACACAUACAAUACCUACAUACGGUUGGCCCGUACGACGAUAUAUCUUGGCAUAUUGCCAUCGUCCCGUCGAUCUGGGCACAUAUAGAAAGGCGCAGGCAGUCCAUGUCUAGGCGUCGCGGACCUGGAAGAUGUUGCGGGUCUUGACGACGAUGUCGUACAUAUGGACGAGCUUGAUGCGGGCGAAGUCGCGGGGCACGGAGAUGAGGUGCACCGUGGAGCGCUGGUGGAACUGCAGAAGGCAAGGGUCGUUGAGGUAGCGCUCCCACCCGAGCUCCCCGAGACGCCGCUCCAGGACGUCGUACGAGGUCACAACCUCGCUGCUCGGCACAUGCACCAGCACCUUCCCCGGCCGUGCUGCCCGGCUGCUCCCAGGAGCCUCGCUCUCCGCCCGCCUCAGGAUGCCGUCCUCAAACACCCACACCCCAGUCAUCCUUCCUACCGCUAGCUAUAUAUGUUUUCAGUUCACUUGUUGCAGGUUCUUGCUACAAGCUGCUAGUUAAGCUAUGUCGAUUUCGGGCGAUUAAUGGUGCUGUGAGCAAAUGGGAGGGAAGAAGGGGCACGGUUUAUAUAGAGGGGCCGGGAGGCUAGGCGAUGACGACAUGACGUAGGCGUCUAUAGACAAUGCUCCGCUCCCAGCAUCGGCUAAGGUGGGUCCCGGCGGCUCGGCGGUGUUGUCCUCCUCGGAAUGAGGUGGUGUGGGCCCCCGGGAAUCACGGCGCCUCUCCAAACAUAGAAGCAGAACCUUGUUGGAACUUUCCAAUCGAAGGACUACCGUCGGCCGUUAGAAUGGCUGGUUGGACGGCUAGAUCAUCGUUUGAGGUCAUGUGGGCCUCGGAAAGAAGAGAUGAUGAUGAUCGAUGAAUAUUGUAAUACAUAAAGAAAAAGUAGGUUACGUGUAUAUAUACUUGACUCAAGCAAAUUGAAUUCUUUAAUCAAAUUUGUCCAAAUAUGGAUGUAUCUAUUUUUAAAAACGUCUAGAUAUAUGCAUAUAAUAUUUCGACAACAAUUUAGGAUCGGAGAAAGUACAUUAAGAAAGUACACCAAAUCAAACACACUUCAAAUUUUAAAAAUUAGUGUAUAUACUGGCCAAGUUAUUAAAGUACGUACAAGACCGUGUAUAUAUAUAAUUAGAUUUAGAUUAGCAUAAAUGUAAUCACUUAUUAGUUAUUCUUAAAAAGAAAAGAAAAAAGAUAAUGGAAACCUUGAGAGAAAAUUGCUCUGCUUUUUUGACAGCUUAUACUCGUAGUAUUAGGAAGAGAAACAGUGAAGAUUGCUCUGCUUAUACUCGUAUUAAGAAGAGAAACAGUGAAAACAAAGUUUUGCCGCACGCUUACCUAGAGAGCCCAUUCCACAAAAUAGCAUGUCCUGACAGAUGUGUUUUGAGGGGAUGUCCUGACACAUCUAGCUUAGCGUGUUCCAUGUUCUAGGGAAAAAAUAUGCAUGCUUGAUAUUUUUGAUUCCCUGAUUUUUGUUCCUUUCAGUCGGUUUAUCGUAGACUUACGCCAGCAUGCAGCCUGGCAGGCCGAGUCCGGCCCCUCCAUGUUGUUGUCAUUAUUUUCUCAGUUAUCCGCUUUUCUUUUACUCAUCUGUUUUUCAGUUUUUUUAGGGGAAACAGUAGGAAAAAUGCCUACUACAAACACAUUAAAAUGAAAAUAUGUACAGAAAUAUUACAGAUGGGAAAUGAAAAGGAACUGCAAAAAGCAACUAUCUAAACGCCUCUAUCCAUUAUUGCUUGAAGUUGCCAUAUGACUUUCUCUUUGCUCUGUGGAAGAUAAGAUUGAGUUCUUCUUUAAAAUAUUUUUCUGCAUCCAUAGAGGUCUGGCUGAGUGCCCUGAAAAAUCAAUUCAUCUCAGAUCUUCCAGAUGUUCCAUAGGACCAGCGAGGUAAUUUCCAUGUGGAAAGGAGCCUUGAUAAGCUGCUUGAUGUUUCUGAUGAACAGCGUUGCAGGCUGUGUAUCCAGCACACAUGUACUUCCAGCGUGUCACUGCAAAUGGACAUUCAAAAAAGAGGUAUUCCCUGGAUUCUGAGCUGUGGUCACCACACACGACGCAAUCAUAUGAUGGAAGAGGUGGAAGGUUCUUUGCUGGAGCAUGUCCCUGGUGUUCAAUCUAUUAAUCAAUAAGAGCCAUAUGAAGAAUUUGUGUUUCAACUGGCAACAAGAUUUCCAGCUCCAAUUGAAUGUGUCCUGAAUAUCAAUGUGUUGUUUUUCAGUUUUCUGAUCCAUAUUGAUUUCUUUUUUGCGAAGAAUUCUCAUCAGUUUGGACAUUUUUAAGGUGAUGAUGAUGUUUUCUAUAUAUUCAUGAGUUAGUGAUAUUGUGUCCUUGAACAUCUCAUCACUACAUGUAUCAACAAAUACAUGAUUUGGUUGUGAGACUCGUAUUCCAAGAUGUUCUAACGGUCCCUAGUUAUUGAAUUUAUGUGGACACAUGACCUAGACGAAUAUAGUACUAUUCGGGGUGAUGACUAUGUUUCACAAGUCAUGGGCAAGUAUGGACUCGGGGAUGGAGAUCACAGAGUUGGACAAACCCGCACUAAGCCACAAAGAGAUGAUUGUCAUUUGUUAGUUGCAAGUACAUUUUUUGUGUUUACUUGUUGGUCGUUGUUUGCUUAGCUUUGUUUCCAUCAAGUAGAUCAUUUUUGUUUUCGUGGAGUUCUUGGUCUAGUUGGAAUCGUCAAUUUUUGGUUCAGAUCUGAGACCCACCCUAGGUCGGCGAGAUCGGUUCAUCUUGUCCUAGUCAGAGUCGUCAAGUUUCUACGGAUCCGAGUUUCCCUGCACUCAGUCGGUGAGAUUUGUUUCCAAUCCGAGUCAGGUUUGAGGUCCGUUUGUUUUGCCCAAUCCGGGCAUGUUCACAUCUCCGUUUUUUAUAGCCUAUUCGAUCUUUGCGUGAACUUACCUAUUUCCGCCCCAUAAGCACUAGAUUAAUAAGUUAUUGUAUCAUUUAAUCCUAUAUUUCAACUUGUUGCACUGAACUUCUCGCGCGUUACAACUUCUUGUAUGACCAUCGUUAUUACCUCUUUUGAAGAGGUCUGAGGAGGGUAGCCGUUUUAUAGUAAAAAAAAAGAAAAGAAAGAAGAGGGUAGCCUCGGAUUAUUUUCUUUUGAAGAGGUUUGAAGAGGGUAGCCGUUUUACAAAAACUGAAAAGAAAAAAGGGUGUAACCUCGGAUCAUUUUGAGUUGUCGCAGAAAUCUUGAGGACACAAUCGACGUCACAGACGGUAUGAUGAGCGAACCGUCCGGACAAAACGGUAACCCUUUGGCCGAGGCCUUUUCGAAUUUAUGGCUCUCGGCGCGUACAUGAACAGAGCCUGCAGCCGUCAGAGGAGCAUUUGGAUUGAUAUCUCUUCUCCGGCAGACCAGCGCGCACCCCGUCCACCUCCAGUUAAUUUUUUUCGUCCGGUCGACGGACGUCCCUCUCGCCGCCGUCUGUGCGUUGUGCCUUGCCCCUCUGCUGCAGGAGGCAAUGGCACGGCCACGUGAGGAGCCAUGCACGCACCCCCGCCCACGUGCAGGCGCACGCGCCCCGUCGGCAUCCGCGGCCCACCUCAUCCUCAUCGGUGGUUUCCGAAUUCCGACGAGAAUGACGGUGUACGUUUACAAAGGUCGCUUGCUUGUGGUCGCUGUACAGUUGUAACUGCCCGGGCUGCCACCGCACGGUCCACCAGACCACCAACGUGCACGGGACCGGAUCCACGAGGAAGGAUGAUGUGAGGAGAUUUACUCCUUUUUAAAUACAAAAGAUGUUCGAACUUGUUCUAGGCUGAAUUUUUAAAACGUUUGACCAGUUUAUUAACAAAUCUAUAACAUCUACAACCAUUUAAUAAGUUUUAUUAAAUAUGUCAGGAUAUAUUAAUUCAUAGUAUAUUUAUCCCAUAUUGUAGAUGUUGAUAUUGUAAAUGUCAGUAUACUUUUCUAUAAAUUUAGUCAAACCUUAGUAAAUUUGAUUUAGGAACAAGCUCCAUAACAUCACAUCUUAUAUGUAGGAACAGAGAUUGUAGACAAGACUGUUUUUCUCUUAUAAGUUUCAGGUUAUUUAUAGAAGACAGUAAAACAUGCUAUAAAAUAUGCUACUCCGUCUCUUCUACUGUCCUUGUGGUGGCGGCUUCAACGACGAGUACAUGCACUCUAGUGAAAACAUCCCUAUUCAUGUAAUGGCGACGUGCGCCCGCGUUGUACCUUUGUUGAAAGUGGUGGCUCGAAUCUCUACUUUGGGGAUGAAUAUAUAUCCCACGUUCGACUUUCGGUUGACUUGUCAUCAUCGACGCAUGUGCAAUGAUUCCUUUUUAAAAGCUUUGCAUAGGAGUUGUGUUCUUUCGUUUGUUUUGGUCUUUUACCAUAGGGUUAGUGGUAGUAUGAUGAAGUUAUUGUCGCGAGACAUUCGACCUCAUGUGUUUAUUUUUCUUUUUUGUGAUCGAUUUUGUUCGGUUUUGAUGCCUUGCUUUGCCUGGUUUUUUAAUAAUAUUUGGUUGUGUGCAUCAACCGAUGCAGAGGCCGGGGGUUAUGCUUCUUUUCGAUAGAAACAUAUUCUAGUGUCCUAUCUUGCUCUUAGUGUAAGUAAAUAAUAUUAAUCAAAUACAUAUGAAAAAAUGUGAAUUUUAGUUUGACGAUAAAAAAAACCAAUUUCCUUGUAAAGAGACCAACUAUUAGUCAAGAAAGGUUGACAUCACACCAUUAUACAUACACAUCAUUUUCUUUCUUGUAACCGGAUCCACCAGAAUCAAAUGACGUUACAUGUUAUUCUUUCUCUCGUGACCGGAUCCACGAGCAUCGGAUGACGUUCAAUGUGAAAGAUGAUUCUUACUCUGAUUAAACAUAAGCAUACAAAUAAUUUGUACUAAAGCAACGACAAUAAUUAUGUAAUUGGAGUAGUGAAUCCAUGGUGCUAACCAACCAAAAAAUUCCCUCCUUCCAUCACAUGCCGUGUAAGUAUAAAUGGACAACGGUCUGGCCCGGCAAGAAAUAAACGGGCCUAGCCCGAUCAAGCCCGACAACAAAGGGGCCGUGUCAGGCCCAAAACUCAUCCUCUAGGCCCAGGCGCAGCACCGAGCCUGGACGGGCUGGCCCAGGCCUGUUAAGCCCGACAGGGCCAGCAAGGCCAAAUGUACAAAAAAAUUAAAAAAGAGUUUGGGUUUGGGUCAAAACUGUGAAGUUGAUGGGCCAAAACUAGUUGAUAUGAUGGGUCAAAUGUAAAAAUAAGUUGGAUUGUGCCAGAUUUUUGAGAGUUGAUGGGCCAAAUAAGAGAUAUCUAAAAAAAAAGAUAAAUGUGCCGACGAGGGUCUGAGGUAGAAGCCCAGGCUCGGCACAGGCUGGUGCUCGGGCCGGCUCGGUCCAAUUAAUUCUGUGCCGGGGCAGGCCGGGUUUUCGGGCCCGAUGGCCACCUGUUAUACUGUAAGCUGCUACGAGUAGUACACAGCGUCGUGUUACCCCGUUAUCCCGUUAUCCCACCCUAUUCAAUGUUUGUUGUCACCGCUGACACUCCUGGUCCUAGCCACUGCAUUUUACCAAUCCUUUUUUGCGAGAAAUGGGGAAUAUAUUAACGGGUCAAAGAGUUACAAUUAGCGGCCAAAAGCUUCACAAUACAUAAAGAAGCCUCGAGUCACACCAUUGCAGACUUUUGUGCUAAUUUGCAAGCCCAUGUUGCCUAUUCAGUUUCUUUACCACAACCAACGACCACGCUACGAGUUUCACGAUACAACCAACCUAUUGCAAAGAGGCUCUCCUUCUCAUCCUCGAGUGCAGCGACCACAGCAGCGGAGUCUGACUCUGAAAUUGUCGGCAUGUUGAUCCAUUCCUUCAUUGCCCGGGCGCCGGGCGCCCUGAACAUGGCCAGACCUUCAGCUUCCUUCGUACUCGCACACAUAGGAAAUUUCUUCCACAUGACAGGAGCAUAUUUCUUCUCUACAAUUUCUGACGAGUAAAAUAUACCGACAGUCCUAAUAUUAAUGACGAAAUGUCAAGUUAGUUCUAAAAUUACUAAACUAUAUAUUUAGAUCUCAAUAUUUUGUAAAGUGGGUCACGACAGGUCCUAAGCUCGUACAUGAGUGUUUGACCGGCCUACGUGGCGUGUUGACCUAAUACACGUAGGCAAAGGGAUCCGCUAGACAUAACUGGUGCAACUGCUCGCUUCCAUCAUCACGAGUCGUCUACCGUCCAAGUCGGACGGUGCUACGUGCCGCCGUCUUCGUCGCCAGGAACGUCGUCAAAUCAAUUCGAUCGUCAUCACGGGUUCUUCAUCUUCAUCGAAACAGUACGUAAUCCGUGAUCCGAUCUACUGUUUAGUUAUGAUUUGCGAGAUUAUAUUAUUAUUGAUUGUGCUGUUGAAUACCUCUAGUAUAUUGAAGAUGCAUAUGCUAGUUGUUGUCAUGAUCUAUAUUAUGGAAUUAAUCAUUAAUUUGUUAUUCUCGAAAUUGUUUAAUUUUCCAACAAUAAGUAAAUUCAUAUUUGAACAAAUUUAAAAUAAUUAAUAUGGAUCCGAGUACAAAAGUAGCCGAAGCCUCGAGGGAAGCAUUCUAUUGCUUCUUUUCCUGACACAACCCCCGCCGUAUCGUCCACCAGGGGCCUCCCGAGCUCAACAACGAGUAACCAGCCAAGGAAUAAUAAGCAUGGACGGAGGGAUGCACAGCAGCUACGCGCAGUGGCGUGAACCACAGACGGCCCUUCGUCUCCUACUCCGUCAACCGCCUCCCAGUUUUACGGUGAUGAGCGAAGCUCUCGCCUGGUUGCCUCGCAGGCCCGCCGAUCGGUCGACUCAGAGAAGACCACGGACGGGGAUAAUAAGGCAACGGAAAACAAUUACCCGCCGGUAUCCUGAUGGUACUGAGCUCGCGUGCACUCCACAGUGCUGUAUGGCCGAACACCACGACAGGAGCGUGAAAGAAAGAUCAACACUAGAAGUUGCGGCGCACCCCACCACCGCUUUUUUUAAAAGCUCGGCACCCGAUUUCCAACGACUCCUUUGGCGAACCAACAUUUGACCCGACACUGGCUGGGUCACUGGUGUGGACUGCGUAGCUUAGCUAGCUAGCCGCACUCCAAACAAGCCGAACAAAAAUCGAGAGCGCGGCUGACACGAGUCAACGAUGCCAGCGGCACCGAUGGGGACCGCCUGCCGCGUUUCUUGACCGCUUCCUCCCACCCUUCGCUGUCGCUCCGGUCCCACCAUGGACCAAAAGCGUACUACUAUGCCCGCUCAACCACUUGGUCCCGCCGCACACUCUUCUAGUCUUCUGUCUCUCCGCCUUCUUAAUUUCGGUUUCGUUUAAUAAUGGGGGGAGAGAUUUCCCUCGUGUCCUCGUCAGGUUCGGAGAGAAAAUUGUACGAGCAUGAAUUUAGUCAAUACUGUACUAACCUUACGUUUUGAUUAUGCGGUCAAAACGCCGAGCACGCUUACGCAUCUUUAUCUCUCUUGCUUACUACUACAUUCAACUUUCUUCUCCAAAGCUGAGAGCUCGGUGCUUCCUAAUUUGUUCUUUACAAGCUGCUAGUACAGUUACUACUACUACACUGAUGCGAUUGAUUCAACAAGAAGAAGUCUAAUGGUAAUCAAGCGAACAUGAGCAAUAAUAAGCUAAGUUUAAUUAACAGGCCGGUGUACUGAUAAGGAAGAAACUUCAAAGCUCGUGGAGUGCGGCGAGCGGCGGCGGCGGCGGCUCCUGGUCGGCGGGCGCGUGGCGGUGGUCGCCUUCGUAGGUGACGAUGAGCAUGGAGGGCUCGCUGGGGUCGCGCUCCACGUGCUUCCGCGCCGGGCACCCGCGCACCGUGCUGCAUUUGUAGUAGCCUCUGCACACAUCAAUCAUGGAGUUAGUUCACGGGAGAAAAUUAAAGAUUUCGCUUUGCCAAUUUUGGUCUCGGUGUGUCUGUCUCACCGCGGAUAGGGGGAGCCCUUGAUGGGCUUCUGCCCGUACUUGCGCCACGAGAAAUCGUCGGCCGGGAUCUCGGCCGCCUUGGAACUGAUGGCCGGCACGCGGGUCAUCCGCCUCACCCGAGACUUCCUGCGGAUUCCGAUCCAUUUCAUUCUUCAGCAAAGGAAAAACAGAGGAAAAAACAGAGACAAGAAAAUCGAUAAUUUGCUAGUCCAGCCAACUGACCUGCGCUUGGAGCAGUGGCAGCGGCCACCGGAGGCGCCGGCGACGUUCUCGGAGUGCGCGUGGUCGUGGCACUUGUGCUUCGCAGCCAGCGGCGGCUUCCCGCAGCUGGCCGAAGGCGGCGGCGGGAACACCAUGGAAGAGGACACGCCAGCGCGCCCGUUGGACACGCUCCCGUCACCGGUCACCGACGACAGAAACGACGAGCUCGCGGUCGCGGCAGAGACGCUCAGCCCGGCGUCCUUAUUCCCGUACCCGGCCUUGGUGAAGUCCAGCGUCACGGAAGAAGACCUUACUACCACCGGCGCCUGCUGCUGGUGCUCGGGGCCCUGGGACUGCGCCACCACGGGGCCGCGCCGGAACCUGGCGUGGCCGGUGCGGUUGAGGAUGGAGAUCACCUUCUUGAACUUGGACACCGUCAUGUCCGUGAUCUCCCUGCAGUCCACCUGCUCCUGCUGCUGCUGCUGCUUCCCCUUGGCCUGCUCCGGUGCCGCGACGGCCGGGGAGCUCUCGGCGCCGGUGCCCGUCUGGGAGAGCCGCAGGAUGAGGUGCUCCAUCCCGCGCAGCCCCGCCGCCGCCGCCUCCUGGAUCGCCGCCUGCUCGUCCGCCCGCCCGUAUCCUCCCAUCAGAUCCAUGGUCAUCAUCGCCCCAAAAUCGCUGCUCGCUCGCCGGACAAUGGUCAAUGGAUUAAUUGGUGGAAGAAGAAGAAGAAGAAGUGGGAGGGAUGGGGGGAGGCCGGGUUAUAAAACGAGGGGAGAAUGUGACUGACCGGCAGCAGCAGGUGGUGGACCAGUUCGAGUCAAAGCGGAGUACCUGUGUUAGUCACUGGUGAGCGAUUCGACCGUUGGAUGAGACGGACGGAUUGGAUGGAUGGAGAAAGUUGACUACGGUGGGCGACCAGUGGGAAGACGACGCGUGGUGGGGGCACGGGACCAGUUCGUUCCAACCGCAAAGAUCAGCGACCGCCUGUGGCUGCUGCUACACGUACCCGUUCUCGUCAGAGAACCUGAGGCUACACCUCACAGACUUCCGGGCCCUCCAAACAAAGCCAGAAGACACUGACCCAGUUGUCAGUGGUAGUACUGUAUGUUAACGUGUUGGUGGGACAAAAAAUCAAUUGCGAGAGGAGACUUUGUGGCCAGCAAUUAUCUCAUGACUCCUUUUGCGCAGAAAUGAAAGCGGCAGAACAGUUGUGUGAACGGUACCAAUGAUGUGAGAAGGCUGUACUAGCCCCGUGACCAAAGCUGUCUGUGACUUUUUUUUGUUUGUUUCUUCACGUUUGAUUUGGCAUGUCGUGUCGUGUGGGAUGGGCAAGGAGAAAAGUCAAUGGUGGACUUCAAUGACUGAUGGCGAAUGUCGAGAAAUCAUGAGCUCGGACUUUUCAAUGCGUCCUACGUUCAAAACAAUAACCUGUUUUUUCGGGGUUUAUUCGGUUCACGAAACUUUGAAAGAAAAAUAUAUGACGCAGUCAUGUAGGCUCCAAUUCUUUGGCUUCAUAUUUAGAUUCAUUAGAAAUUAAGCCAAUUCUUACGUAAACCUUGGAUAUCUAGCAUCUUUAUUCAUAUGAAACGACUGCUACACAUGGUAAAAAAUCAUGAAGUUGAAAAUCCUGUAAAAAUCUUUCAAGUAUCUUCCACACCAAACGAGCUCUUGAAGGAUGCAUCUCAUUGAUUUUCGUAACAUGCACGGAUUUUAGAACCAAGUAUGCAUCUACACUCUCCGGUGUAUAGAGGCAUUUGUUGCUUUUAAGAUGGACCCCACCAUCAUGUGACUAAUAAUAUUUUAAAAGUAAUCAUCACUUUAGUGUUUUAGAGAGUUACGAUAGUUGGGCCUCAAAAUUGUUUUAGCGGCUCCACGAUAAGAGGUGUCUCUAAGUUUAGAGGCACACACAAAAUUGGUGCAUUAGCUCAAGAUAGCCUCGAAGCUAGCCUUAGAGGCUUCUAUAGAGGCAGCAUGGUUUUUCAUGACCGUGGAUGCCCUCAACCCAAAAGCCGCGCGAGUUUUCACCUUCUGAGAGCUCUGCAUGUAUUUUCCGUUCUACUGUAGCUCUCGAAUAGGUGUUGGUUGCGAGUGAGCUUUUUUGGGUCGAGGAAUACUUUAUGUCUUCUCAAUCUCGCUCGCUUGCUUGACCACUGCCAGUCUUUUCUUUUAGCACUCUUUCUUCCCCACUCUUGCGCCCUUCCUUCUCGUACCUCUUGCACCCUCCUUCCCCUUCAUCGUCCUCCAGAUCGAGCAACGGGCGGGGAUGGACAAGGCAUCUUCUUCUAUCGAUCUGUUGUUCCCAGAAAUAGGAAAGGGGCGCCACGUCUGCUUCCCCAACAAGCUAGAAGCGUCAAUCGCAUGCUACUAUCGUCGACUCGGAGACUCAUCGUCAUCCGCCGGUGCCAGGACAAGACCUCUUCUUUCUCUACUCCAGCACUGCCGCGGCUAACGAUGAGGAUGUCGAUGACGAGCGCAUGCAGCUGCUGGAGAAAGACCACCGACUUCAGUGACACAAAGGGCGCAUGCUCGUGGCCCCCUCCAAGGAUUGGUUCUUCGAGGUGGCUUCUGCUUCAACUUCCAGCGACGUAGAGACCAAAUGCUCAUCUUCCGCAUCUCAGGACUGGUUCCUGAAGGCGUGCCUCGCUGUGUCAAGCGAAUCCUUAAAAUGAUCAUCAAUUGAUCAAUUAGUUUCUUUAGGCGAGGAGGCAGGGCAUGGAUGGAUCGGUCAUUGACGCCAUUAGAUUCAAUUAGUUUCAAAGGGUUUAGUUCAAGUCUAUACAAAUGUUCCAUGCUUUUCGAAGAAAAUACAGAUGCGAAGAAUCUUCGAAGAUGAGCUAAACCUUGUGUUUCAUAGAGCAAAAAAAAAUGAGAAUUUUGCAGGUCUGCGUGUUUCCGCCUGGUUUGAAUUUAGAUAUACAGUUGGUGCUCUUUAGGUUAUUCACCGUUUUCCUUAAAAAUAAUUUCUGUAGUAUAAAAUAAAUGAAAAGAUGGAGUUCCAUUCCUACACAUGAAUUACAUUACGAGAUGACCCAUGGUAAACUAACCGCACAACCUCAAUCACGGUUGAUCACAAACAACCCACGUACAUCGAUCUCAUUUCUCCUGGAGCCUGAAGAAGGCCAUGAGAGGCGCGUAGACCCUCUCCUUGGCGUUCCCAGCGAAAACGAAAUCGGCGUGCGCGUAGUCGGCGAGGUACUGGACGGUGAGCUUGUCUUUGUCGUGCGACUUGAGCGCCUGCAGCUCGAGGCGUUGAACGUCCUGCACGUCAGAGAGGCUGUCCCUGCCGCCGCUGCUGAGGAACAGCGGGAAGCCGUCGGGGAUCGCCGAGACGUUGUAGACAGGCGGCGUCGGUUGGCCGUAGUGCUUCGUGUUGUCGUUGGCGUUGCCGUAGUCGUACUUGGCGAUCAUGCCCCUUCUGAUCACUGCUCCAUCGGUCAGAGCGUAAUUGGUUAUUACGAGCAGACUCUUGAGGCAAAGAUUUUUACAAGUGUGUGCUGACUGUGGCUUUGUAUGUACUCACUUUGGGCCAAAUGAACCAUGUUCUUGGUUGAAGUUGCUUGUGGCUCGUGCGAAAGGAAGAUCUGGACAGAGGAGCUGUCAAGGCAACAAUUGUCACCUGUUCGACAUUGUGUUUGGAUAGGACUGUCAGUGCAGGUAAGCAAAACAUCGGCCUUUUAAAAGACAGAAGUAAAUCCAACAGACUAGUCCUAGGACAGCGUUGGUAGUCACCCGCCUUUUAAAGACAGGAGUAAAUCCUACAUAGUAUUGCGGAUUACCGGAUCUUAUAAUUACUUUUCCUUUUCCAUCUUAUGCUAUCGAUUAAAAAUUGCGGUUACUCCAUAUAAUACUCCCUCCGUUAUUUUUUAUAAGGCGUGUAUUGUUUUACCUUUUUCCGUAAAUGUAAGGCGCACACCGGGGCGCACACCUGCCGGCGCGAUCUGGCUAAAUGAAAAUUAGCCCGGGCCGUUGCAUGCAUGCACGCAGCUAAUUUAGUCACUAUAGACCAUAUUUUCAAUUUGGUAAACAAGCAAAAUGUUUUAAAUCCGGUCAUCCUUGGCACUUUGUAACAUGAAAAGUGUAAUUUACAGAAGAACAAAAAUUAACCAAAAGUGGGCAAAAGAACAAUGUAAAAAGAGCAGAUACAUUUAUAGAAGUUAUAUAACCUGUAAAUGCUGACAUCAGAUCGUAGCAAUCUACUCCUGGAAGCUUGCAUAUGUCAGUGACCAGUUUGUGAACAGCAUCCCUACACAAGUGAUCCCAGCCAUCAGUUGAAUAUCAAAGCCCUCUCUCUCUCCCUCCCCCUCUCUCUCUCUCUAACGCUAUUUAGAAUAAUCAGAACAAUUAAUGACGAUGACAACACAAAGAACAGCACCAGCACGACUUAAAGUGUUUUUUUUUCGAAGGGCGGCUUAAAGUUUUCUUACCCUGUUGGAUCGAACUCAUCAAUCCCCAGCCAGUACAGAGCCUGCCAUAAGAAAGACGGAGGACCAGAGAAUAUUACUUUCGAUCCAUGGACUUGUCGUAUGAUCAGACAGAUCGAGGCCUCUUAUCUUACCUCGGCCAGGAAGACGUCGGCCGCUGCGAGUGCCAAUGGCGAUGACACCUUGUUGAGGAAUGCGAUUGGGCUGAGCAAGCCGGCGGACCGCAGCAUCCCCACAUGUGGCUGCUGGUCGCUCAGGGCAGCCAACGCGAUCAAAGUCCCCUGCAUCGCCAAUUCAACAUAUUUAUACAUACAUGCUUCUAAGGAAGCAAUAUCGACUGCAGCUCUAUUGGUUUGUUCAUCUUUCGGUUCUUAAAGAAGCAACUAAUUGUUGUAUACUUGUAUGCAUACAUUUCGUACUCCUCCGAUUCAUAAUAAGUGUCGGGAAUUUAGUAUAGAAUUGUAGAAAUUUUAUACUAAAUCGCUGACACUUAUUAUGAAUCGGAUGGAGUAUAACUUAUACAUAUAUGCAUCAGAAAACAAUCGUUAAGUAUCAACUUAAUAUAUUUAUGAUAUCAGAAAAUAAUUGUUAAGUACGAACUUAAUAUACUUUUGGUUAAAUAAACGUUGUCCAUAAGAAGGCAAAAUCCCUCCUGCAAAUAAAAAUAAAAAUAAGAAGGCAAAAUCCAACAUCCUGUUUUGAACUAAUGUAUAAAUUUCAUUCAAAUUUCACAAGGAACUCAAUGAAAAUUUAUGAGAAACUAGAAUCAUAAAAUCACAGAGUGAAAGCAAGUAAACGAAUUUACCUGUUACUAAUUAGUUUUUCUUAAAAUAUUUUGGGAAUACAACAGAAUUUCCAGUCACACAAGUCUAUUUUCUUUGAGGCUUACCAGUGAAUGGCCCACGUAGUGCACCUUCUGCUGGCCUGCCUGGUCGUACACGUAUUGCAGCAUCGCCGAGAGAUCGUUGCUAGCCAACUCGUCCCACGACCAGUUCCAGUAGGCCUGCAGAAAUCCCAAAUGGGCGAUGGAUCCAUCUAACGUAAGUACGACAAAGCGAGUCCCAUAAACAAAUGUAGUACUCCGUGUACAACAGAGGCUCCAUAUUUAUAUCAAUCAAUGCGCACCGGAUCAGCGGAGGAAAGCGUGGUGUGCCCGCUGCUGUAGACAGUGCCGCGGCUGUUUGCAAUCCAGACAUCGUAGCCGUUGUCUGCCAGGAUGAACCCCAGGGACUCGUUGGGCGAGUUCAUCAGCCAUGACAGCCCAUCCUGCGAAUUGUUUUUGUCGUGUCAUAAGUGGAUUGUCUGGUCCUUCUCAUAAGAUUGGUCUUUUGAUUGCGUUGACUAGCGCAUGAAGCUCUUCAUGGUAUCAGAGUCAAAAGACCUCGAGUUCAAGACCCGGUUGCCGCAAUUAAAUUGCAGCACACUUUCGAUCCACGUUUAGGUGGGAGCCACACGUGAGGGGAAUGUUGAAGUAUAAGUGGAUUGACUAACCCCUUCCAUAAGAUCGGUCUUUUGGUUGCGUUGACUAGCGCAUGAAGCUCUUCAGUUAUUAGUAACACAUGAUGUCCUAUGACUUUCUUGUCCAAACUACUAAGGCAUCCGACAAAAAUAAUACUGAGUUAACCCAAUCUCAGUCUAGUAUAAAUUUUUUGAUAAAUUUGAGACAAGAAUUUAGAAACUUAAUAAAUACUUAAUAAGAACCGACUGAGUUAACCUAAUAAAUACUUAAUAAGAACCGACUGAGUUAACCCAGUCUCAGUCAGUCUAGUCUAAAAAAAUGUUAACACGAUCUCAGUCUGACUGACGUAUACAGAAUUAGUACCAUCAUGAGGCCGUGCUGCAGCAGGACGGGCACCUUCCUGCUCCUUCCCAACUCCGAUUCGCCGGCGCGACCGCUCGGGAUUCGCUGCAGGCUCAGGAUAUAUCCGUCCUCCGUCGUAACCUGCACACAACCAAAAUCUCCAUUAAUCUUAAUCUAAGCCAGACGAGAUUAACCAUGAUCCAUCUGUGACAAGCUCUUGAUUAAUUACCGUGUGUUCCUCGCAUCUGUAGCCGAAUGGCUCCACCCGGGAUCGGCACGUGCCGUUCGUGGUAGCCGCAAGCGAUGCGUUGGGAGCUGGCCGUGUGGCUAGUGCCGCCGCAGCUCCAUGGCAGAGGAGAACCAGCAACAGGCUAACGAUGCAUCUGCUGCUUCUCGUCGACAUUGUUAACCUGACCGUUCAGUAUGUUUUUGUAUCUUCUCUUGAUCGGCUGGCUUGCUGGCUGGCUAGGACGUGGAAUCCAGAUUUCUCUUGGGCUCGUCUCUUAUACUAGUUGGAAUGGAAUGAUCAGGUCACUUUCAACGCGGAUUAACAAGCGCUCCAGGCGCGUUGCAUUUGUUAAUUGGAAUGUUCGUCAGCGUGGUUUGUAGUUUACGGCAUUGUGAUGUGCUCAGAUGCGUAAUAAGAUCCUGCAUUUGUAUUAAAAGAUCUUGCCUGCCCCCUGUGUAUGCUCCUUCCCAAGGUACGUGGCGUGCCGGAUGACCAGAUCUUUAUUUCCGGUCUCUCUAUUUUUUUUAGAAAAACUAAUCAAAUGAUCGGGGUAAUAAAUAUGUGAAUGCAUAGAGCGCGAACAUUCGCUCGGUAACCCUGCUGCGUGAAGGACGGACUUUGUUAGCGCGAGGUAUUAGUUAUUACAAGUUGUCACUGCUUCGGAUUAAAGUUGACACCAUCGCAGAGCUAAAGUUGCCAAUGUUGCGGAACUAAAGUUGCCGCAGAACAUGAAACGCAUGGCGCAAUCGCAGCCUCGAUCUUCCCGAUCGGAUGAACAACAAAGCGCUUGUUGAAAACGAAAAGACGAAUGUUAACUCCUUAAAAAUCACUCCCUCCGAUCCAUAUUAGUUGUCAAAAUGUUACAUGUAUAGACGUGUUUUAGUCAUAGAUACAUCCAUAUUUGGGCAAAUUUGAGACAAUCAGUAUGGAUCGAGAGAGUAUGAGUUUUGGUUUUCUAAGAACAACGAUUUGUCUUUAUUUCAUAAAAGAAAGUACACUAGAUCGAAACCGUUGAGAUGAACAUAAGUACACUAGAUCGGAGGGCUCACUCUCCUCAAGUCUACGUUAUGCGCCAUGCCGGUUUAUGUGAUGUUGUCCUUGGACAUCCCCAUUAGAAUUAUCAAGGACAUCGAGAAGAUUUGCCGUGGUUUUCCAUGGAAAGUAAGGAAGGAGGUGAAUGGGGGCCACUGUUUGGUUGCCUGGGAUCGUGUGUGCACGCUGAAGGAGUUGGGCGGCCUUGGUGUUCCGAAUCUCCGCGCUCUCAAUUCAGCGCUAUGUGCACGAUGGUGCUGGCACCAGAGGACUGAGCCCUGACCGAGGUGCCGAGGUAGGCCUAGGAGAUUUUCGAGGCCGCUACGGUUUCUGUCCUUCGUGAUGGUACGGGCACUGAUUUUUGUACGGAUCCAUGGCUUGAUGGGCAGAGAGUGAAGGAGAUUGCCCUGAGCCUGUUUGAGGCUAGACGUCCACACUGCGGGCCGCUUUCGGUCGCCGAGGGGCUGUAGGGACAGGCGUGGUGCUGACAAUUGAGGCCCAACAUAGGGUCUCAGGCAUUGCAGGAAUUCUUCCUGAUUUGGGACCAGACUCGACAGACGAUCCUAACGCCGGGUCAAGAUUCUUUCCGCUGGAGAUGGGUGGGGAAUGGGGUUUACUCUUCCAACUCGGCUUAUAGAGCCUUAUUCGUUGGUCGCAUCUCUAUGCCCGGGGCUGAUCUGGUAUGGAAAUCCAAGGCGCUAGGCCGAUACAAGUUCUUCGUGUGGCUGGCUUUGCAAGGUUGUUGUUGGACGGCGGACAAGUUGCAGCGGAGGGGGUUGGAUCAUCCGGAGCGUUGUCCUUUUUGUGACCAGUGACAUGGACAUGCUAACCAUGGAUACGACCAUUAGAACCCUAAUUGUUGGUGUCUCUAAUAAUUAUAAUCAGGUGAAUUCAAUCACAAAAUGUUUUCAAUAUGUUACUUGCAAAGAGGCGGAGCUACUAUUCUGUGUAAUCUUAUUAUGUAGGCAUCUUAUUGAACUUUACAAGUCCAAAGUGAAGAUGAAGUGUUAUAGCCUGCAAAGGGAGAUUCAAAAUGAAGCCUAUCAAGUGUACUUUCCAACAAAUCAAACGGCACAUGAUUCGGAGCUUGCUAGAGAAAGAUAUCACGAAUUAAAGUUGAAUCCGAUUCGGGUCCGAGCUGUCAGGAGACUCGAAUUUGUUUUAAUCACCCAGGCCGCAUCCGGAGUCCAAAUCAAGCAAACAAGUACUUGUUGGAAAGGUAAUUACAAGACCUUUCCAACGGAUCUGGCCCCAUCAAGAGAUUCGACUCGUGCUGACCGUGGCGGACAAAACAAGCUGACGGAUCUGUUUUUCUGUUUCCUAAAGAGUUGUAGUUUGUUAGGAAAGUUAGAGAUAGAGUUGGAUUUCGGACUCCUUAUUCAAGGUGGACGAAAAUAUCUCUCUCUCCUCCUUUAUAUACCCUUGAGCCCCCCUAAGGAGCCUUGGGUUUUGUUUAGGUGUAUCGAUUGCUAAGGCGCUGCCCCGUAGGCCGUAGUCGGAUCGUCAACGUCACCUCCUACCCAAAUCGAGAGUUACCAAUCUCAUCGAAAGAUCGGGCCACCCGCACCCGUAUCAACCAGGAGCCGGAGACGAUUGAUCACAUCCUGCUUGGCUGCGUUGUAGCUAGAGAGGCUUGGGCUCGUAUCGUUCAAGGCUGGGAUAGAGGGGACUGGUUUCCUUCCGUGGUUUCUAGCUUGCUAGGUUGGUGGACGACGAUUGAUGUCCAAGGUAAACGACGUCGAAAUGUAGCCACUGCUACGAUCCUCGUCUGGUGGUCAAUCUGGAAACACCAUAACAACGUGGUCUUCAAUGGAGUUUUGCCUAGGAGUAGAUCAAUUCUGUUGGAGAUUAGGAGAGAGGGAGAGUGCUGGACCCGGGCAGGUCUUCUGAAGAAUUCAAUGGAGGGGUCGUUAGGGGGGAUUGAGUGGAUAGAUCCGGGUUAAGUUGUAAUUAACUCGUUGUACUACCGCAUCGUGGUCUUUCUCUUUAAACGAUGAUACACCAUCCUUGGUGUAUUCCUGGAAAAAAAAACCAUAAAUAACGAAGAUCCUAGAUAAAACUAAAGCUCCAUUAUGGCUCUUCGAAAUCGACUACACUAUACAUUUUUCGUAUGUUGACAUUCCUUCAAGCAUUCGGCAACGAAAUUGCAGGACAUCAUCUUUGUACAAGCUGCAGUAGUCUCAUAAUUUUGGAGUCAUCCACUGUGGCCGGGAGAACAAAUGAAGACUGCGAAACCGCUGACUCGCACUGGGCCUGAUAAAUUCUGUUUGGUUUCCUGGGCCUAUUGCAGCCCGCGUGCAAAAAUAGGCCUCCGCCAGGAUCGUCGUUGGCUGCAGACGCGUCUCCUCGUUGGUUCCUUCUUCGUCGGCCACCUCCCUCUUCCUCUGUUCCUCAAUCGCCGCCUCCUACCCUCAUUCCUCUCGACCCCGGGUUUUCCACGCCCGUAGUCGCCGUCGACUGGCGGCGCCGCUCGUCCGGGGGCAUCGCUCUUCCGAGGGAGCUGCUGCCCGGGUUCUUCCUCGUCUGGUCCUUCUCCUCCGCCGCUGUCCGUUCCUCCGGCGCCGGCCGCCGGCCGCUUCUUCCCCUCCCCUUCCGGCUGCAGCUUCGGUAUCCCCAGACACUGGGCUCGAAGCAUGGUUUGCAUCGUGGAUGCCUGCACGGCUGCUGCUGUAUCUCCCGUGCGGUGUUGGCUGUAGACAUCAGUGAAACCAAACACCCUAGCAUUGCACGGAGGGCGGCCUGCCAGUGCCGGGCAAAGAUGACCUCCUAUUCUGUAGAAUCGAUUUUAUAAUAAAAAAUUGCCGUUCCGAGCGCCAUCCCUCUUGGCUGGCACCCAGAUGACCUCCCCUGUCGAUCCCACGGCGGCGGCGCCGCAGUCGCCGUCCAUCAUCACGAACGGCGCCGUCAACGGCUUACUCCCUGGUGCCGAGGCCUUCGCCGUGCACUACCCGGGUUACCCCUCCAGUCCCGCUCGCGCCGCCCAUACCCUUGGCGGCCUCCCCACCAUCGCCAAGGUACUGCCCUUCAACCCUGAUGACUCUCGCUUCAAUUAGGCAGCGAGAGCAGACUGACAUACGACUUCCGUUUGUCCUCGUUUCUACCGUAGGUCCGGAGUUCCAAGUCCCGUCUCGAGCUCCGCUUCCGUCCAGAGGACCCCUAUUGCCACCCGGCCUUCGGUGAGCCCCGGGCCUCCACUGGCCUACUCCUUCGCCUCUCCAGACCCAAAGGUGAUGACGCGCCGCCGCGUGCUGAGGUGGUGGCACGGGUCCGAAACGCCUACUAUUUUGAAGGUGAACGCUUAAGGGCAACCUGUUCGAUGAAAUGCCUUGUCCUUUUGUUACACUUGUAGAAUAGCUGCCAUGUCCAUAUACUCGGUUUUUUGGACCAGUUAGAAGUUGUGGUAUGGAUUUAGUUCAUGGAAGAGACAAACAGACCUGUUCACAUUUUUCGUCAUUUGUUUUGUACCCAGCUGAUUUUUCACCAUUAUUGAAGUACCAUAAUCUGCAAUGAGAUAAAAUUAAAUCGAAAUAGGCUUUAUAAAGUUAUGUUCUUUUUGAAUGAUUGGAGACAGGUUCUGAUAUGCCUUGCUCAAAUUAAGGUAUUAGAUCUAGUUGAUAACCUUUGGGCUCUAAAAUGCAUGACGUCCAGUUAUUGAGAAGCACAACUGAGUUAAACGAGUGUAAAUUCAAGGAAAUACUUGCACGGAGGCAUGUAUCGUUGAGCUGGUACACUUGUCAUCAUUCUCGUUUUGCUCAUGUACAAGUUAUGCAGGUAUGGCAGAUUUUCAACAUGUUGUUCCAGUGCAAGCUGCUAACGUGAGAAAAAGAAACCGGCCAGAUUGUCCGAGUAGUAAAGAUGAUUUAGGCAGGGGUAUAUUACUUUCAGACUUUCUGUACUUCAAUGAUGAAAUGGAUUCUAGUAAUGUUACUAUUUCUGAUCACUCCUUUCCUCUUCUGCGUGGCAGAUAAGGUAGGAGAUCUAGAAACUGAUGAUGAAGAUGCCAUGAUGUUAAUACCACCACUCUUCUCAAUAAAGGAUAGUCCGACAAAGAUAGCGUAAGUGAUGAUUGUUUCACAGUUGGCAAUGACAUUGAAUACUAGUUUUAUUCAACUUUUCUGAAAUACUAUAUCCAUGAAAAGGUAGUUGUCAUUAAAGUACUAUACUUGACGGUAUUUUUUUUUAGGCUUCUAGCAUCGUCCAAUGCACUAUCGAAGAGCAUGCAAAGGGGAGUUGUACGUCAUCGGUGGGAGGUAUAUCCUGCUUGUAUGUACUUCUUCUAUAUUUUUUUUAUCUGGAACAGUGACUUUAGGUUCUCCUGAUUCAUGAAUGUCUACCGAAAUAUUAUUGUGAUAUCAUUUUACUUCUUUUGGGGAAAUUAUAAUCUGUUCUCUCUUUCUUACCAAUGCUCUAAUUGGCAGUAAGAGGUUAGCGACAGGCUUCCCAAUCUGAAAGCCCUUGAAAGCAGUAUUUAUAUACAUCACUAUUUUCUUCACGUAAAAGAUGGAGUUGGUGAGUACCUUCCCUAAAAAUAGGAUUUCUAAUAGAGUUAGAACUGGCCAACUGGGGAGUGUGAUUUUUCUUUUUCAGUAGCAACAUCUGGAAAUUCAGCUAGUUAUAGAGAACACACAACUAAACAAUGUGUUUUGAAUUUAUGCUGUUUCAUGUGAGGAUAUUGCUAAGGGUUUAGUCACUGCUAGCUCAAACUUUCAGACGAGGGAAAAACAAUACAACCACAACAGUAAAAGAGAACCUGUGAACAUAAACCUACAGGUGAACCACCCAAGGAACAAUGGUAUGGUCGACGAAAUGUAGAGUAUGUACUUACUGUAUCCAAUCCCAUUUUCAUGUAGUAUAACAUAAGUUUCGUAUACAUCCUAGACAGGCACUGUAGUUUGUUACAAACUUCUGAGCUUUUCUAGCUUCUUGCCUUCUACUUAUCUGCCUUAUGCCCGUCCCUCUGUCCUCAUUUACAUUUGAAGUCAAUACUCUUAUCAUCCGUGUUCUGUGGUGCUGGCAAACCUGCCUUCUUGAUAGCUUAUUGUGGAAGCCAAUAUGUAUCUUGUUGUGAAAGCCAGAUGUAAGAGCAAACAAUUUUUCUGAUUGCUGUAUCUUGUGAAGAUAGACCUACCAAUAACUUGAUAGUGGCUAUCAAUGUCACAAAGGUUGGUAACUAGAACAGCGUUUCCUGUUUUGAUUUCUCUUAUCUUUCAUUUUUAUUUUCACCACAUUAAACUUCGCCAUAACUUUGACUACUCCAUUUGGUGAUCUACCGUUUAUCAUUUUGAAAGCAUAGCAUUUAGUAAUAGGUGAUAUACCACCUGUAACUGCUCACACUUACCUCUAUACCAUAUCCCUGCUAUUUACUGUUGAAAGUUUUGUGGAGUUAUGAUCAAUUUUUGUGAGAAAGAUUGCCUCUGUCCCAUUAAAUUUCAGGGGAAUUUUGUCUUCAUAGCACUCUUUAAAUUACCAGGCAUACUUCUAUAGCAUUUUGGACAUUCUUGCCACCACUUCCUCUCAUCCCUCUCCUCUCCUCUAUUGCCUUGUUCAUGGGAGAUGCCUCCAUUGUAUUUGGUGUGAAACAGCUUAUUGACUGGAUUAAUUAUGGCUGAUUUUUCUUUGGUUGCAGAUGGAUAUUGAACCAACCCUUGCUCUUUCUUUCGACAUUCAAGAUAUCCUUUUUUUUAGAUCGUACUAUCAAAUUUUUCAAUGUUGUUUCGUACAACAAAUAAGAAAAGAAAAUCUUACAUGUUACUCUGGGUUUAUGAAAUGUUGGAUCUGCCACCUGAGUUUGCGUGUAUUUGCGAUCAGAUGCAUGCCACUAGUGUUCAUUGCUACUUUCAGUGGUCGAGGGUAGAAAAGGACUAAAAUAAAGAUUACAAGAACAUCCUCUUAUAUUUGAGAAUCUCAGAUAUUCUUCUCAGCAAAAAAUCUUAUAUUCUUCUUCACUUCCUCGAGCUAUAUUUUGUUUUUUUACCCCUCUCGAACCCUGGCCAUCAUGUAAUUUAAAAUAUUGUCCUUGCUUUCUUUGUUUCCUUGAGUGGCAUUUACCUGUUCCUAAGAAGAUUAAUUGGGAAGACCACAUACCAAAGAAGUCACCAGAGUGGGGUUGGCAGAUGGCUAUGUGCAAAUUGUUUGAGGAGCGUCCUGUGUGGCCAAGACAGUCACUUUAUGAACGUUUGCUUGAUGAGGGUGUGCAGGUGUCACAAGGCCAGUUUAAAAGGUUUCAUUGUUUCUUUCACUCUUGUGGAUUUGACUUGUAUUUUGAUGUGUCUUAGUCUCUUUCAACCAUUGAAUGCUUCAUCUCAUUUUGUUUCUUUUCUUAUGCUUGCUCAGCCUUCUGUUUAAAGCUGGAUACUACUUCUCUACUGGUCCCUUUGGUAAAUUCUGGAUCAGAAAAGAAUACGAUCCUCGUAAAGAUCCCGAGUCACGAAUGUAAGCACCAGCUUCUUGUAACAUAUUUGUUUUCUUAGUAGUUAGUUUCCUUGAAACUACCCCCUCUUCUCAAUAAAUGGUGUGUUCGGUUUCUUUAGAUAAGACUUUGACCAAGAAUUACUUCAUUAACAUGUGGUUUUCUUGAUGUGAAAUUUAUUCACCAGAUUCUUCUUCAAAAGUACUUGGUGAUAAUUGUGGUCUCGUAUCAUAUAAAUCACAUAUUAAUGAAGUAAUUCUUGGUCAAAACCAUGUCUUAACAAAACCUAAUACGCCAUGUAUUGAGGAAAGUAUGGAGUAUGAAGUAGCAAUUGCCUGCUCUGUGCAGAACCUAUGAAGUAUGAACAACCCCCAAAGCAUAAUUUGAAAUGGGAACUCUUGCUGAACUAUACUAGACAAAUAGAUUUUGCUCAACACAUUGUUUGACUACCGCUAUCAUGUUUUUAAAGAGGAGAAAUCUACAGUGCAACUAUUGCUAUAUUUCCAACCUGUUUCCUUAUGUAAAUGCUUUCAAAGAGCCUAGGUGAUUGUACCCUGUCAACUUAUUGGGGUAUGGAUGGUCAUUUCUAACUUUUAUUGUUAAAUUUUGUGGUUUCUUAGACUGCUUAUGGUGGGCUGAGGACAAUUAUAGUGAAAAGGAUAGUGACAUCUCAACAUUCCAUCUGUUUUGUCACGGCAACAGAAAGACUUGAUUGAUCAUUGAGUGCAAAUGAUAGUGGGUAUCGUAGCUUUAGUUCUUUCUCUGGGGUUUUAAUCGUACAUUUACAAUUUUCCCAAAUAGGAAAAAUGGAAAGAUUGGAAAUAACUUUGCUAUGUAGUUUCUCUUGUUUGUUUCAUCCAUCACCAUGGUCAUUAUUACCUCUCGAUAGAAAAACAUAAACAGAAAUUGAAACAGACAUACUGCGACUUCUGUACCACUAAAAGGCCAUUUCAUUGCCAAUUUGGCAUUACUAGUUGUAAACUUGCACAUGUCAGAGAUAAUUAUCAUACCAUCUUAUUGUAGUGGGACUAGAACGCAGUUGGCAAUAGGAGUGUAAUGCAUAAGUCGGGAAAGUAGCAUUUGAUUCCCCUUUUCAUGUUUACUUUUUCGGAACAAAGUAGCACUUAGUAGUAUUGCUGUCCUCCAUUUUUUGUUAGGUCUAUGCUUCCGUCUUUCAAUUCGAGUGAAGUACCUGCUAAAUCUGAACAUUUGAGACUCUCAUUAUGAACUUAGCCCAAGGAUCAAGGACUAGUUGUUAUUUCUAAUUUACAUUUUGUUUUUGUCUUGUAACUACAUUUCUAGCCAUUUAAAUUGAAAAAAUGCUGUUCGUUUGCUAGAUAUCAGAUGAUUGAUUUUCGCCUGCCUCCUCAGCUAAGGAAUCUUCAAACAAAAGAGCAUUGUGGGUGAGUCGUAUAUCUUUCUUUUAGCUUGCAUUUUUUAGACAAUAUCAUAUCACUGCAUCAUUCAUUUUAAAGAUCUGCUCACAUCUGCCCCAUUUUUUUCCUGCAUUGGUGCCCUUUUUUUCAAAAUACUUCAUAAUUCUCAUCUUCUACAUUCUUUCCUGUCUUAGUGCCUUUUUGUCAAAAUAUUUCAUACAACUAUAUUCUUAGCCUUUUACUGGUGAAAGAACUUAGUGAAAAAAAUCUGCGUGCCCUACUCUGUGCCCAUGUUCUAAACGACAUACACCUUGUAAAGGGCAUGUCCUUUUAAACCUCAUCCCGAUAUUCAUGCCAUACCUCCUAUGUCCACCUGAAUCCAACAAAUGCAAGUUCAUUUUAGUCAAUUACAAGAUUACAAGAUAAUAUAUAUUUUUGCAAUUCAAUUUAAAUGUCUGUCCAAAUUUCAAGAGUACCCCAAACAGUGAAUAACUAUACCAAUUCCUAACAGUAGGUUUCUAAGAUGUGAGGAAUAAUAACAUGUUUCUACAACACAGAAUUUUCAAGAGAAAUACACAGAAUUUUCAUCAUUUGAAUAAACGAAGUUAACCGAUUGUUGUAGUAAAUGUUAACAUGGAAAAUUGUGAGGAGCUGUGUUUGAAGGCGAGUUAGGUACUUUAUUUAUAUUGUGUUGCAUCAGACUGUAUUGUAUGAAGUUUUCGGGCAUACUGAUAAUGAGCAUAGUUGCUGCCAAUUCUAAUUGUAAUUUGGGUGGUACUUAGUAGUAUAAGUGAUUUUAAAUAGUAGAAAUUCCUUAAUGGGUAUGUAGACCAAACAAAUAUAGAGGAUACAUGUGUUAAUCUCAAACAUCACGUGCAUGGGAGGUGUUGAAUUCUUUUGGCACGUGCCAGUUCUAAUCUCAAACAUUUUUCUUUUCUUUUGGCACUUAAGAUCUGAAAAGUGGUCAGAGAUGUGCAAGCUUGAAAGGAUGCCAUCCAAGAGUUUCAUCUUCCUGCAAUUAUUUGAACUGAAGGACGACUUCAUUCAAGCAGAAAUUAGAAAGCCUUCUCAUCAACCAACUUGCUCAGUGAGUAACUAAGAUAUCUUCUGUGAGGCUUUUUAUUACCGGCGACGUAUCCAGUGAAAACUCUCAAUGGGUGCAAACUUGCAAACUUCGUCCGUCCACCGUUAGAUCUCGAAGAUGUGGUCCAGAUCAGAGGUGGGAGUCUUCCCAUCACUUAAACGUAUUUUGCAGAAAUCCCCUCCCACGCACUGCUUUUUUCUCCUCGUGGUCGCCCUUUGUGUUGGAAAACGAUUCGACGACCUUUCCUUUCUGCCGCUGCUAUGGAUCCUCGACCUGCUCUUCCUCCGUCCGGUGCAGCGCCACACCGUGCUCCCCAGUCCGGUCCUUAGUGGCUCCGCGCUCCCCCACUGCUUGGUGCUCCGCGGCCCCGAGCUCCGCCGCCGCUCGGUACUCCGCCGGCGCGUGAUGCCCUGUUCGAUGCUGCGCCGCCCCACGCUGCCCUGUUUCGAGGUCCCUCGGCCGUGAUUCCCCACGCUCCAACGCCGACCGUGAUACCCAGGCUGCCACAUGCCGUGAUGCACAGGUCGCCCGUACUUGAUGACUGGAGCUGUGCGUCCGCCGCGGGCCGUGAUGCCCAAAGCUCUGCCUCCGCCUCCCAAGACUGCAAUGAGGCUGCAAGCCAUGAUACAGAAAUUCAUCCUCUGAUCAGUUUGGAUGGCUUCAGCACACCAAAAAAGAGAACUUCGAGGGCCCCAAUUUGUGUAAGUAUCAUUCAAGAAACCACAGGAGAACACAAAAGUAAUUUCUGCAUUUCUGUACACUCACAUCCAUUCAAGAAAUUUCUGCACAUUUACAUUGAUUCAGGUACCGAAAAACAUCAAGCAUUUAUACAUCCAUGAUGGUGAAGUUACAGCCACUGCUCGUCUUCAUUCAGCCCAAACAUCACAGAGUUUCAGUGCAGCUCGUUCAGUACACUUCAACACCAAAAUUCAGUUAAGAAGAACACCAAUAUUCAGUCCAACUACCCAAGUAGCCGUCGUCUGGGGCAACACCACGCGGCAUGGUGACCGUAGCCGUACGGUCUCCCUUGCUGGGGGCAGCUCUCCACGACUCCACCGCUGCCGCCAGGUUGCUGUCUUUUUUAUUUUUGCGCAAACGCCAGGUUGCUGUCGCGCCGUGCCGUUGGGUGGUGGGCAGCGCAGUGGUCGCCGGCGCACUAGGCCGUAGGGUGGACGGAGCAGGGGGACAGUGCCGCCUCUGGCACCGCGUGGUGCAGCGCCGUGGACGUCAGGCCGAGAUGCCGCCCCGUUCGCCGGAUCGUGGGGCCGGCGCCAUCGUCGUCGUCUCUGACUUCCGUCGAUAGGAAAGGAGUGGGGCGGCCGAGGAGAGAUGUAGAGCUCCGGCCGGGUAGCGAGGAGAGGGCUGGUCGCCGGUCGCCGGCUGCCGGCGCGGGGACAAGGGUGGGUUGCCGGCGGCCAGAAUCGUCGCUGGAUCGGGUGGGGAAUGGGAAGACUCGCACGACCAGGAGGAGAAAAAAGCAGGGCGUGUGAGGGGGUUUCUGCAAAAUAGCGUUUAAGUGAUGGGUAGACUCCCACCUCAGAUCUGGACCACAUCUUCGAGAUCGAACGGUGGACGGACGAAGUUUGCAAUUUUGCACCCAUUGAGGGUUUUCACUGGAUACGUCGCCUUUAUUACCUCUGUCCUACAUAGAAAUUCUGCCUAUCUGUGUAGAACAUAAAAAAUUGUUUGGCAUGACAUCCUUACUGUUACUUACCUUCUAGUGUCUGAAUGAAUCAUGAGGUGUUAUUUGGGUGAAACAUAAUGCUCUCCAUGUCAGUUUUCUUAUGAGCUCCUUGUACAAUCAUUAGAAAUAUCUUGUUCAAGAAAAAUAGUACAGACCGGCUAGUUUGUACUGCAGCUGGCUCCCGUACUUUCAUUGAUUACUUUUAAUUUAUACCAAUCUUACUCAACUAUACUAUUGCUAGAGUUGUAUAUUCUUUCCAUGUGUUUGUUGUGUAGUGUUUUCCUCACUGUAUAAGGGAUUUCCUGCAUAUUUAGCACACCUGUAUUUGUAUAUAUAUACUGGACCUUGUUCUCCAGGAAAUACAAGUUGCAUAUUUGCUCACAUGGUAUCAGUAUCCAAGGUUUUUUUUUCUGGCACAUACAACUCAUGCUCUAUUCCGUAAUAGUUUGAUUUUCCAGUCUCCUGAUCCAGAACGGUAACCGCAAUCGAUCUCUCGAAGUCUUGAUAAAUCGAUCUUCCCGAUCUAUUUCUCCAUCCCACCCCGCUCAAUUUCUCCAAUCAUCUGCCUGCUUGAUUUCCCCACAGAUCAAGAUCAAUCUGCUCCAAUCACUGGCAUCAGAGGUUAGGAAAAAGGCCCUUCUCCAACAUCUCUUUGUCGGAGGACCACCGCCACUGCCUGCUGCCGGAUCCGCCUGAGUGACUAUGUGAUACAAAUCAUAACUAUAAACAAGUACUUGUGAAUACGAACACAAUGAUAUCAAUUUUAUUACACAAAAAUUAUAUAUUAAUAGACUAAUUCUUGGUCAAAGGCUCGGUCAAAGCAAACAAUAUAGGCCUUAAUUUAUGGAACAGAGGGAGUAAGACACAAGAAAAAGUAAAGAAAAAAAAACAGGUAUAAUGUCGUCAUCAUCGAGCAAUACUAUCCUGCCUUGGUGAUUUUUGAUGGUGUUAACUACAACGACUUCGUCUUGCACAUGCGCCUCCACAUUCGCAGACUUCGACACUGGAGUGUCGUCUCUAGCAAGGUCUCUUGUCCACCUUCCCCUGUUCUUCUGGUGGAGCCUCUGCUGCCAUCAGCUACAUUUUUGCUGAUAAAGCUACUAGUUAUGCUUCUUAUGAUCAGGUUAUCAUGGUCUACCAGGAGGCUCUAGGCUCAUGUCAGGAACUGCAGUCCAUCCACACUCAGUUUUACUCUGAGAUUUUGGCCUUCAGUGUAAUCGUCUUCCUCACCUCCAUGAGCUCUCUGGCGAUGUUCUAUACCUGUCUGUGGUUGGCCAGGAGCACUCUUGUUAGCUGGCUGAUACCACCGCUUAUGAGUUCUUCGCUCAGAGUUCGACUGUCUGGCAUCAGCUGGAUGUUUUUCGCACUGCUUGCUGUCGCUCCUGUCCGUGUUGUCUGGCUAUUGAUGCUGAUCUAGAGUUCCAGUGUGUGUAUGAGUGUUUGACGCGGCUCCAUUCUGAGUUUGAGCCUCGACGUGCCCAGUUCUUUGCCAGCUACCCUCGUGUUUCGUUUGGAGGCAAUUACAGAGACACACACUGAGAGACUUGUCUGCAUGGCGCUGGUGUACUAGCACUUUCCUCUGUACUCGCUGCUCAACCGCCUGCUACAUUGACUGUUGCACCGCCUGUUCCUCGUGUGAGUGCCUUGUUUUCUCCAGUGGCUUACACUGGCGGUGAUGGCCACCUUUCUCCUGGUGGUUAUCCUCAUCCACCCGUCCCACUGAGUCUGCACAUGUUCCUGUUGCGGGCUCUCCGCCAGCGUCUCCAGGUGCUUCAGUCCUGAGGCUCCUCCUGAUAUGUUAUCUUCUCCUCUCCCAUGUGUUGUCUUCUCCUGAUGCGCCAUCUUUUUCUGAUGUGUCGCUUUCUCCUGUCGCAGACGUGUCUUCUGCCAUGCCAGCCUCUCCUAGUGAGCCAUCUUCCUCUUCUGAUGUGCCACCUUCUCCUACAUAUGGCCUACAUGGUUCUGAGUUCGCCAAUUGACUGGUAUGGUUUUGCUGGGGCAGCUCUUUAUAAGCCGACCUCCUACCUUGAUGAUGUUGUUCAUGAGGAAUGACAACAUGCGAUAGCAGAGGAUCUUGCUGCCCUUGAGCGCACGGGCAUGUGGGAUCUUGUUUCUCUUCCUCCACAUGUAUGUUCCAUCACUUGCAAGUGGUGAAGUGGGUCUAUACAGUUAGGACCUGCUCUGAUGGUUCUCUUGAGCACUACAAGGUUUGUCUUGUGGCUCAUGGCUUUCAGCAAAAGCAUGGUUGUGACCGUGAUGAAACGUUUGCUCCUAUGGCUCACAUGACAACUGUUUGUACUCUUUUACGAUGGCUUCUGUUCAUCACUGGUUCGUCUCAGCUUGAUGCCAAUAAUGCCUUCCUUAACUCUGAAUUGCGUGAGGAGGUUAACGUGCAUCCAUCAUCUGUGUAUUCUGCUCCUGAUGGCAUGGUGUGUUGUCUUCAUCGCUCUCUUCAUGGUCUUAAGCAGGCCCCUCGUGCUUGCUUCACUUUUGUGGUCACAGCUGCUGGCUUUUCAAUGAGUGAUCAUGACCCCCUUGCCUUUUGUUCCCAUUUCGUCCUGUGGUUGGACUCUUCUUCUGCAUGUCGAUCACAUGAUUAUCUGCGGAGGUGACUCUUGAGUACAUUGCCUUUGUGAAGGCUCGUCUUAGUGUUCUUAUGUCCGAUUUUAGUCAUCUUUGCUACUUCCUUGCGCUGAGGUUUGCUCCACCUCAGAUGUCUUUAUCUCCAAGACAAGUACAUCCAGGAUCUUCUUGUUCAUGCUGCUCUUACUGUUGAGCGUACUGUUGAGACUACGAUGGAGCUUAAUGUCCACCCAUGAGCUUCUGAUGGUGAGUCUCUUCCUGAUCAGACUCGUCAUGGUCAUCUUGUUUGGAGUCUUGUCUAUCUAGUUGUCACUUGUCCAGAUAUCUUCUAUCCAGUUCACAUCUUGACUCAGUUGUCUCUUCUCCCACUCAGGUUCACCAUGGUCCCCUCCUUCGGGUUGUACGAUAUGUUCUUGGGACUAUCUCUCAUCGUCUUCUCUUCCCAUGCUCCAGUUUGUUACAGCUCCUCGCAUAUUUGGAUGCUACUCGGGCUAGUGAUCCUUCGGACCGUCGGUCGCUCUCUGCUUACUUUGUUUUUGUUGAUGAUUCUCUCAUUGCUUACUUUGUUUUCUUUGGUGAUUCUCUCAUUGCCUGGAAGAUACAGUCUGCAUUUUCCAGUUUGAGUGCAGAGGCUUAGUUGCCGAGCUAUGGCUCUUUUGACCGCAGAGGUGACUUGGUUACGAUGGUUGCUUGCAGAUUUUGGUGUUUGGUCUGUACUUUCCCCGUUGUAUAAGGAGUUGACUGCAUAUUUAUCACACCUAUUCGUGUACUCCCUCCGUCCCAUAUUAGUUGUCUCAAAUUUGUCAAAAUAUGGAUGUAUCUAUGCCUAAAAAAUGUCUAGAUAAUGUUUCGACAAGUAAUAUUGAAUGGAGGGAGUAUAUAUAUACUGGCUCUUGGCCUCCAGCAAAUACAAGUUGCAUCUUUUCUUGCAACUGUGAUCAAAUACGAAUAAUUAUCAUUAUCUGCGUAAUAAUCUUGAUCCGUAGCUUGUACCAACAGUCCUUUGUGUGUCUAAAUUUACAAACUCCUGUGUAGCAUUCGACAGGUUGGUUUUCGAAGCCAAUGAUUAAAAUCUUGAGAUCACAACUCAGCAUAAGGUUCCUUUCAUUAUGUCCUAUUGAAGAUGCUAAAAUCUUUUUGAGGGAUGCCCGUGAAGCUAUUGAAAGGUCCAAGAAGCAGGAAGACCUUUGCAGAUCUAAGCAACUGAAGGAAAGGCAGGAAUUCGAUGAAGGUUUAUUCAGUUUCAUCUUACUUAAUACUAUCCAAAUGCAUAUUGUUCAAUACGUAUGGGCGCUAGGCGACGGGCAUUGUGCAGACAUAAUGUAUAUUUCUGCAUAGCAGUAAGAAUAUAUGGCUGCCAGGCUUAAAAAAUUCUUGUUAAGCUAAUUUUAUGCGGGCAUAGAUUUUAUGAACCUAGAUUCAUACACAGCCAUGCACCUAUUGCAGGUUUGAGUACAUAUGAGCAUGCAAAUUACUCCCCUAAAGUUCACAGUACUAGAGCAUGUUAGAAAAUUUCAUGUCCAAGUAGAAUCUUGUCUUAUUGUCACAUUUAUUCAUGUACACAUUCUAUCUUGUUCUUGUACUGUGAAUUCUUUUAGGGAACUUUUAGAAUGCAGAGUGCACAACCUAAGUGAGACAUGCAUAGAAACAUAGGUUCAAUUUUCAUUUUCCUAUUUCAUGCAUGCUAGUUUUUUUUACUUUUCUUUGUAUGGGCAUGACAUAAGUUCAGAUCAGUUGGCAGCCCGUGUGUCUGAUUUGUAUAUGUUUCUUCAUAAAGAGAUACUUAAGCAUAUAUCCAUACUGGUUGUUAUAACCCUUUUUUUUCCAGAAGCACCUGAAAAACAUGCUGGAUCUGAGGGUCAAGUGGACAACUUUGAUUGUGAAGAUAUUGAUGAUGAGGAAGAGGAGGAUAAGGAGGAAUCAGAUGGUUAUGAUUCUCCACCUAUGGUAUGUCCUACUUUCACCAAUAUCCCAUGUGUGCUGCAGAAACUAAUCCUUUACUAUAUCUAUGUAGGCAGAGGAUGUUCGUGAUUUCUCUUUACAUGAUUCAUGUAUCCUUUUUGGUACAGUCCAUUGAUCAAUUUUGAUUUCUCAUAGAAAAGAAGUCAUACUUUGUUCAUGUUUUAUGUUCAUUUCUCCUGGCAUGGGUGAUGCUGAUUGACGUUCCUUUUUUGUCUCUCCUGGGAUACUAUGGAGGGAUGACAGUAAAAAAUAUUAUGUUGGUUAACAAAGAAAACAAUACAACCCCACUGUCCUACCGUUUCACUCGCAUUCUGCAGUAAUUAAUUCAUAUACACAGGAAAUGUUGGAUGUCAAUAAUUGAUUAAUGUGCAUUGACAGGCUCAUGGCACAACUAGGUAACUUGUAUAGUUGUAUGUGACUAAUCCGUGAUACAAUAUAGUGCCCUGAUUUUGGUAUGUUAUUAAAUCUUUAUUUUUCCCAGAUUGAAUGUUGGAUGUCAUUACAUCUUUGCGUUGUCCAGAUUGAAUGUCAGUUUUGUUAUGUUUCAAAGGCAACACAAUUUCACCAAGAGUUUUCAGUUUUCUGUUGGGGGAGCAAAGAAUAGACAAACCAAACUAGUUCUGGUUGCUUAGAGCGCACUGGUUGGUUUUCUUUCUUUUGAAUUUCAAAAUUUCAAGUUAUUGAAUUAUAGAUUUGUGGUUGUAGUAUAAACAGAAGCAGUACUAGAGUUGCAGUAUCUCGGCCAGUAACUGACUUUUUUUUCUCAACCCUUGAUUCAGCUUUUACAUCGUUAAUGUAUGAAUGUUCGAAGUUGAAUUAUGUGUAUUGAGUACUGACAACAUAAUAUGUUAUGUCUCAAUCCACUAUUUCAUGGACGAGGUCCCAAAUUGUUUUCCUAUCAAAUGUAUCAGACACAAUUGGAGAAGGCUUUCCCACUGGAUACCUUGAUGGGGUGUUGCGCAGCUUUCCAGUGAAUGAAGACGGACAGAUCAAGUUAGGUGAUGCCCUUAAUAAUACAGAAGGAAGUGAUGGGGAAUUUGAAAUUUUUGAACAGCCCAGUGACGAUGAAGAGUAUUCUGAUGGUUAAUAGAGCUUUUGGGGGGAGUAGCAAGCUAUGCUCAAGUUGGAUCAACGAUGGUUUAAAAAAAAAAAGAAGUUGGAUCGACGAGCUAUCAAGUUAGGUGAUGCCCUUGAUAUACUGAAGGAAGUGAUGGGGAAUUUGAAACUUUUGAACAGCCCAGUGACGAUGAACGGUAUUUUCUGAUGGUUAGUAGUAGGGCUUUUUGGGGGAGUAGCAAGCUAUGCUCAAGUUGGAUCUACGAUGCAUUAUUUUAUUUGGUAUCAAUGUACUAUUGGAGUAUUCCGUUCCAUAAUUUUUAUCGAAAAAUACCAUUUUUUAGAUUUUUUUUAGAAAUAGAUAUAUCCAUAUUUGAAAAAAAAUUGAGGCAAGAAUUAUGAGAAGGAGGGAGUACAUCGACUCUCUCCUGAAUUUAGGAUCCAUUGUCUAAAAGCUUGUUUAGCAGGUUGUUUAUAUAUCUAUGCACUUCGAUGAAGCUAUGUAUUGUAGCCUUGUUCUUAUGAGAUACGGAGUAUAUGAUACUGGAUGGCAUGGAGACAAGGAAGUUAACUGCUUCCUCGUGAAUGUGUAUAAAAAUCUAUAUAUACAAUAGAACCGGCAGCUGUUUCUUUAUCGAUUUCUCUUUAAGUUGAUGUGACUUGUUUGAGGAAUCGAUAUUAGUAUUAUGAUUUGUUAUUUUCUAUCGCAUUUUUGUUGAGGAAUGCUGUUGCCAUUGUUUUUCGGCAAACAAGGAGCUGCAUUGCUUUUCUCGGAUGCAGUAGGGAGCCACCACGUUCAUAGAGGCCCAGCAAAGUUGCACGCGUUAAGUAUUUCCUCCGUUGCACUCCCUCCGUCUCAUAAGUGAUUUUCUAUCGCGUAUCUAGACGUUUUUUAAGUAUAGAUAUAUUCAUAUUUGGAAAAAUUUGAAUCACUUACUAUGCGACGGAGGGAGUACAACACAACUCAUAUUUCCUCCGUCUUGUAUUAAGUGACUCAAAUUUAUCUAAAUAUGAAUGUAUCUAAAAAGUGUAUGUCAUUUAAUAUGGGACGGAGAGAGUAUACUUUUAUUUUCAUUUGUUUCACAAUACAUCUUAUUUUUCUCUUAACACCCGCAUGCGGCUAAUAACUAAUCACAUCUAUUUACUUUUGGUGCAAUAUGAGUAGUUAGGCAUUUGAAACGAGAGCUAUUUUGAUCGAAGUGACAAAUCUAUGUGAGUUGUUUUUUGAAACGAAGAUGUUCGGGGGCGCUUGAGCUGCAUGUGUGCGUGAGCGAGACGAAUGACGGCUGACCGGAAGGGUGAAACGAAGGAAAGGCAGCGCCUGAUGAAGCCGAUCCAGGAUUGAGCUCCAAGCUCAGGGAUAGCAGGAGGGCAAGCUGCGAUUGAGCGCGAGACAAGAGCACAC